rnacentral:rRNA from 1 species
AUUGAACGCUGGCGGCAGGCUUAACACAUGCAAGUCGAGCGGAGAUGAGGUGCUUGCACCUUAUCUUAGCGGCGGACGGGUGAGUAAUGCUUAGGAAUCUGCCUAUUAGUGGGGGACAACAUUCCGAAAGGAAUGCUAAUACCGCAUACGUCCUACGGGAGAAAGCAGGGGAUCUUCGGACCUUGCGCUAAUAGAUGAGCCUAAGUCGGAUUAGCUAGUUGGUGGGGUAAAGGCCUACCAAGGCGACGAUCUGUAGCGGGUCUGAGAGGAUGAUCCGCCACACUGGGACUGAGACACGGCCCAGAUUCCUACGGGAGGCAGCAGUGGGGAAUAUUGGACGAUGGGGGGAACCCUGAUCCAGCCAUGCCGCGUAUGUGAAGAAGGCCUUAUGGUUGUAAAGCACUUUAAGCGAGGAGGAGGCUACUGAGACUAAUACUCUUGGAUAGUGGACGUUACUCGCAGAAUAAGCACCGGCUAACUCUGUGCCAGCCGCCGCGGUAAAAC